UUGGGAUGAUUGUAUCGUGUUCAAUGCCCCCCACUGGUUCUGCUGUUAUUUUAAGCCUUUCCUCCUAUUUUAUUGUCGCUGCUACUGCUGCAACCCCAUUUCCCCAAAUGGAUCACUGAAGACUUGUUUUAUUUCAUACUCUUCACUCUCUCUGUUCCACACUGGAAACACAUUUAUCUGCUUCACUGACACGAUAGAAUCCAUAAGUGAAAGCUGUCAGAGGAGACGAAGGGAUGGAUGUAGAUGACAGACACACAUAGAUGGAGAUGGAGACGCAGAGGGCGCGUGGAGUCAGGUUGCGCCAGGCUGGAGUCUAGAGGCAGAGCACACAGUGAACACAUCAGCGGACCACAACUCGACGCCUUCAGUGACUGAAGUAAUGUUCAUUCCACGUAAGGACGUGCACACACUGUGCCACCCAGUGAGGUGACUCACAAGAAGAAAAGAAGGAGCUGCGCUCACGAAAACACUGGAAUAUACACAGCACACAGCGUAGCUAUUAUUUGUACCUGGACACCUGGCUACUAAGUAGUUUCUGGGGCAGCUCUGGGUUGUUCUAGUUGAUCAUGUACCAAUACUCUCAUAGUGUGCACUACAACAGCUACUGUAGUCUCCUUUGCCUCCAAAGUACAGUAUUUGAUUUAAUUCACCUAUAACAAAG